AAGGAGGGAUGGCGCUGUUUAUCAAGGGAGGCGGGCGGUUGCCGACCUGCGCCAGGGGAGGCGGGCGUAUACGCUGCAAGCGAGAGCUUGGAGGCUUGGGUGGGUGAAUAGGGGGAGGCGUGGAGAACCUCUCAUGAGCCGGGGAUCCGGUGAGUUUCUGGACCACGUCUCUGAAAUCAUUCUUGUUGAUAUUGUACACCGGUGGUUGAUGUUGCUGCUGCUGUGCCUGCUGAUUCUGCUGCUGCUGCGAUUGCGGUUGCUGUUGCGGUUG
rnacentral:misc_RNA from 1 species